rnacentral:rRNA from 1 species
AAGUAAAAGUCGUAACAAGGUUUUCGUUGGUGAACCAUGGAGGGAUCAUUA